rnacentral:lncRNA from 1 species
UACUGUGUCUACUCUCUCCUCUCCGUUACUACCGUCUGUCUACUCUCUGCUCUCCAUUACUACUGUCUGUCUACUGUCUCUCCGUUACUACUGUCUGUCUACUCUCUCCUCUCCGUUACUACCGUCUGUCUACUCUCUGCUCUCCAUUACUACUGUCUGUCUACUGUCUCUCUGUUACUACUGUCUGUCUACUGCUCUCCUCUCCGUUACACCGUCUGUCUACUCUCUACUCUCCGUUACUACCAGUCUGUCUGCUGUGUCUCCGUUAGUACUGUCUGUCUACUCUCUGCUCUCCGUUACUACUGUCUGUCUACUGUCUCUCCGUUAACUGGUCUGUCUACUGUGUCUCCGUUAGUACUGUCUGUCUGUCUACUCUCUCUCCUCUCCGUUCCUACUGUCUGUCACUGUCUCUCCGUUACUACCGUCUGUCUACUGUGUCUCCGUUACUACUGUCUGUCUACUCUCUCUCUCUUCUACUACCGUCUCUGUCUACUGUCUCUCCUCUCCGUUACUAACCGUCUGUCUACUCUCUGCUCUCCAUUACUACUGUCUGUCUACUGUCUCCCUCUCCGUUACUACCGUCUGUCACUCCUCUCUGCUCCUCCAUACUACCGUCUGUCUACUGUCUCUCCUCUCCGUUGUACCGUCUGUCUACUGUCUCUCUCCUCUCCAUUAUACUACACUGUCUACUGUCUCCCAUCUCCGUUGGCGACAGUCCGUCUACUGUCUCUCUCCUCUCCGUUACUACCGUCUGUCUACUGUCUCUCUCCUCUCUGUUACUACCGUCUGUCUACUGUCUCUCUCCUCUCCUUUACUACCGUCUGUCACUGUCUCUCUCCUCUCUGUUAUACCGUCUGUCUACUGUCUCUCCUCUCUGUUACUACCGUCUGUCUACUGUCCUCCUCCUCUCGUUCUACCGUCUGUCUACUGUCCUCUCUCCUCUCCUUUACUACCGUCGUCUACUGCUCUCCUCUCUGUUACUACCGUCUGUCUACUGUCUCUCUCCCUCUGUUACUACCGUCUGUCUACUGUCUCUCUCCGCUCCUUUACUACCGUCUGUCUACUGUCUCUCUCCUCUCUGUUUACUACCGUCUGUCUACUGUCUCUCUCCUCUCCUUUACUACCNCUGAGGACUAG